GGGGGCGACACGGCUUCGACUGCUCAGGUUAGAAGCUGGUUGCGCGUCGAGGAUGAUCGUUGGCCUCGUUAAACACCGGUCAAAAACACAAAUGCUGAAUCUAACGAUUACGCACUAGCAGCAUAACGUAAGCCUGCUACGCUUUAUUCCUGAUGUCUGAUAGGGAAUACCAAGCGUCUAGAAUCAGACUGGCUAGUGAUCCUCCGUCCGUCGGGAUCGCGGCGAGAACUUAGAGGGAAUUGUCUUGGGACCAGCUUGCUUACUGGCAGGUUUCAGGAUGAAAUUGAACAGUAAGAUAUACGUGUAGACGCCAGACAAUCAGUCUGUUCAGGACGCGGGUUCAACUCCCGCCGCCUCCACCA
rnacentral:tmRNA from 1 species